CCUACGGUGGCAGCAGUGGGGAAUAUUAGACAAUGGGCGAAAGCCUGAUCCAGCCAUGCCGCGUGUGUGAAGAAGGCCUUCGGGUUGUAAAGCACUUUCAGUGGGGAAGAAAGCCUUGGGGCUAAUACCCUCGAGGAAGGACAUCACCCACAGAAGAAGCACCGGCUAACUCCGUGCCAGCAGCCGCGGUAAUACGGAGGGUGCGAGCGUUAAUCGGAAUUACUGGGCGUAAAGCGCGCGUAGGCGGUCUGAUAAGCCGGUUGUGAAAGCCCCGGGCUCAACCUGGGAACGGCAUCCGGAACUGUCAGGCUAGAGUGCAGGAGAGGAAGGUAGAAUUCCCGGUGUAGCGGUGAAAUGCGUAGAGAUCGGGAGGAAUACCAGUGGCGAAGGCGGCCUUCUGGACUGACACUGACGCUGAGGUGCGAAAGCGUGGGUAGCAAACAGGAUUAGAUACCCUAGUAGUC
rnacentral:rRNA from 1 species